rnacentral:misc_RNA from 1 species
GAUGAAGAACGUAGCGAAAUGCGAUAAGUAAUGUGAAUUGCAGAAUUCAGUGAAUCAUCGAGUCUUUGAACGCACAUUGCGCCCCCUGGUAUUCCGGGGGGCAUGCCUGUCCGAGCGUCAUUGCUGCCCUCAAGCACGGCUUGUGUGUUGGGCCCCCGCCCCCCGGCUUCGGGGGGCGGGCCCGAAAGGCAGCGGCGGCACCGCGUCCGGUCCUCGAGCGUAUGGGGCUUCGUCACCCGCUCUGUAGGCCCGGCCGGCGCCCGCCGGCGACCCCAAUCAAUCUUUCCAGGUUGACCUCGGAUCAGGUAGGGAUACCCGCUGAACUUAAGCAUAUCAAAGCGGAGGA